UUGAAUAAGAUUCAAACUUUACCAAGGUAGCAUAAAUGUCCUCUUGCACGACUGUCUUGACCUUGCAUACAAAACAAAGAGAAGAAUACCUUAGUAUGCACUGCAUUAGAUAAAAAAAAUUAAACAAAAAGAAAACUAAAAAGAAAAAGAAAUAUUAAGAAGAAUAAAAAAUAAAAUAUUUACAAUUGAAAACAAAAACAAAAACAAAAAUAAAAAACUAAACAUUGCACAAGCGUCGCCUUGUCGAAAUUAUCAAUAAUCUCCGACAACGAUGCCAAAAACUU
rnacentral:lncRNA from 1 species